UGUCAGACAUUAAAUCAUGCCAGGGUACUUCACAGAACCGGAAUGAUAGAGGUUGGUAAGAAAAAAAAUAAGAGGUAUAAUAACAACCUCUUGGAAAAGUAUAAAUUAAAAGAGCAGCCACUGGCUAUCUGAAAGGUCAGAGGAAUGAAAAGACAGUCUUGUGAGAAUCCUUGGUUUCGGAGCGAUGAUGAAAAAGAUGAACAGGGGGUUAAACAUGCCAGCCAAGCUUGCAUAGUCAGUAACCUUACAGCUAAGACUCAAUCCCAGGUUGUCUGACUUUGAAUUUAAAAACUCCCAGGCCUAUUCUGGGGCAACCAGAUCUACAUGUGAUUCUCGUGGGUUUUUGGUUUUAGGUCAUCAUAAAGAACCAGUUUAUAGAAAUCCUUGGAAGUGGAAUAUGUGAUGUCCUUCACUGACUUCAGGCACAUUUUUUGAGCAAACGCUAUGGUAGCACCAGAAAGAACAGUGAGUGAGAGGUGGCCCCAGCGUUCAGGAUAUUGCUUCUGACCUCACUUCCUCAGCUAGAACAUUUGGUGUGUCAGCAGAGCCCAGCAACGACAGAGGGAAAACUAGACACAGUUGCCUGGAAUAAAUAGGAAAUAAGCAAACAAACAAACAAAACCUGCUGUUUCUUCUUUGUAUAACAGUAUAAGCCAAUGAGGGAUUGUAAACUCAGGGAACCACCCCCAGUGCACACACGCUCAACCACACACGGGCUUAAA